GGGCCGGUGGUCUAGUGGCUAUGACGCCGCCCUUACACGGCGGAGGUCGUGGGUUCGACUCCCACCCGGCCCA
rnacentral:tRNA from 1 species